rnacentral:lncRNA from 1 species
GGACGCUGCCUACGGGUGGCCGGGCGGGAUGUAACCGGCUGCUGAGCUGGCAGUUCUGUGUCGCUAGGCUUCUGCCCGGCCGCCGCCGCACAUAAGCUGCGAGGAGGAGCUUUACGACUUCCCGGUCUUCGGGGCCGGGCGCAGCAAGGGCCAGACUCUGCGCUAGCAGGCGCUGCGCGCCAACCGGCCGGCACCUGUCGCAGAAGGUGCAACCGAUCGCACUGUCGCGCAGAAGCUCCUCAAUGGCCAGCGCCAGCUGCAGCCCCGGCCGCCCACUCGCCUCAUCUGAGCCUGGCUGGCAGCCUGCUAUCAAUUACAUUGAUAGUAAAUUUGAGGACUACCUAAAUGCAGAAUCGCAAGUGAACAGAUGUCAGAUGCCUGGUAACAGGGUGCAGUGUUGUUUAUACUUCAUUGCUCCUUCAGGACAUGGACCAUUACAUAACUGAAGACUCCCACCUUCAGGCAGGUUUGGGUAGUACACGUUUGUAACUACCUGGCAUUGCCUUUUGUUGAAGUAAUUUCAGUUUUUAUUAGUAGUAGUAGUAGUAUACUUUAAGUUCUACAGUAUAUGUUCACAAUGUGCAGGUU